CAUUUGUANAGAUANAAAGUUCCCUUCGGGGACGCUAAGACAGGUGGUGCAUGGCUGUCGUCAGCUCGUGUCGUGAGAUGUUGGGUUAAGUCCCGCAACGAGCGCAACCCUUGUUAUUAGUUGCCAGCAUUAAGUUGGGCACUCUAAUGAGACUGCCGGUGACAAACCGGAGGAAGGUGGGGAUGACGUCAAGUCAUCAUGCCCCUUAUGACCUGGGCUACACACGUGCUACAAUGGGCAGUACAACGAGAAGCGAGCCUGCGAAGGCAAGCGAAUCUCUGAAAGCUGUUCUCAGUUCGGACUGCAGUCUGCAACUCGACUGCACGAAGCUGGAAUCGCUAGUA
rnacentral:rRNA from 1 species